AUGGCGGAACCCCAGGCGGAGUCGGAGCCCUUGCUGGGCCGGGCCCGCGGCGGUGGCGGCGACUGCCCGGCGGGGCUGACCACUUGCCGCAGCAUCCAAGUCGGCCCUGGUGCCGCGGCCAGGUGGGACCUCUGCAUUGAUCAGGCUGUGGUCUUCAUCGAAGAUGCUAUUCAGUACCGCUCCAUCAAUCACCGGGUGGAUGCCAGCUCGAUGUGGCUUUACCGACGAUAUUACUCGAACGUAUGCCAACGGACUUUGAGCUUCACCAUCUUCUUGAUCCUGUUUUUGGCUUUUAUCGAGACCCCAUCCUCGCUCACCAGCACGGCGGAUGUGCGCUAUCGCGCUGCCCCGUGGGAGCCGCCCUGCGGCCUGACCGAGAGUGUCGAGGUGCUCUGCCUGCUGGUCUUUGCGGCCGACCUCUCUGUGAAGGGUUACCUGUUUGGGUGGGCCCAUUUCCAGAAGAACCUUUGGUUGCUGGGCUACCUCGUGGUGCUGGUGGUGUCUCUGGUGGACUGGACUGUGUCCCUGAGUCUCGUGUGUCAUGAGCCUCUGCGCGUCCGCCGGCUCCUCCGCCCCUUCUUCCUGCUGCAGAACUCCUCUCUGAUGAAGAAGACCUUGAAGUGCAUCCACUGGUCGCUGCCGGAAAUGGCCAGUGUCGGGCUGCUGCUGGCCAUCCACCUGUGUCUCUUCACCAUGUUUGGGAUGCUGCUGUUCGCCGGUGGGAAGCAGGAUGAUGGGCAGGACAGGGAGAGGCUGACCUACUUCCAGAACCUGCCUGAGUCUCUGACUUCCCUCCUGGUGCUGCUGACCACGGCCAACAACCCCGAUGUGAUGAUUCCUGCAUAUUCCAAGAACCGGGCCUACGCCAUCUUCUUCAUAGUCUUCACCGUGAUAGGAAGCCUGUUUCUGAUGAACCUGCUGACGGCCAUCAUCUACAGCCAGUUCCGGGGCUACCUGAUGAAAUCUCUCCAGACCUCGCUGUUCCGGAGGCGGCUGGGGACCCGGGCUGCCUUUGAAGUGCUGUCCUCCAUGGCGGGGGAGGGAGGAGCCUUCCCUCAGGCAGUUGGGGUGAAGCCCCAGAACUUGCUGCAGGUGCUUCAGAAGGUCCAGCUGGACAGCUCCCACAAACAGGCCAUGAUGGAGAAGCUGCGCUCCUACGGCAGUGUUCCGCUCUCGGCUGACGAGUUUCAGAAACUCUUCAACGAGCUUGACAGAAGUGUGGUUAAAGAGCACCCACCGAGGCCCGAGUACCAGUCCCCGUUUCUGCAGAGUGCCCAGUUCCUCUUUGGCCACUACUACUUUGACUACCUGGGGAACCUCAUCGCCAUGGCAAACCUGGUGUCCAUUUGCGUGUUCCUGGUGCUGGAUGCAGAUGUGCUGCCUGCUGAGCGUGAUGACUUUGUCCUGGGGAUUCUCAACUGUGUCUUCAUUGUGUACUACCUGUUGGAGAUGCUGCUCAAGGUCUUUGCCCUGGGCCUGCGAGGGUACCUGUCCUAUCCCAGCAACGUGUUUGAUGGGCUCCUCACCAUUGUCCUGCUGGAGGCCGGAGAUGCUGGGCUUGCUGUCGCUGUGGGACAUGACCCGCAUGCUGAACAUGCUGAUCGUGUUCCGCUUCCUGCGCAUCAUCCCCAGCAUGAAGCCGAUGGCCGUGGUGGCCAGUACUGUCCUGGGCCUGGUGCAGAACAUGCGUGCGUUUGGCGGGAUCCUGGUGGUGGUCUACUACGAAUUUGCCAUCAUUGGGAUCAACUUGUUUCGAGGUGUCAUUGUGGCUCCCCCUGGAAACAGCAGGUGUGUUGUGACCCCCAGCCUGGCCUCUGCCAAUGGCUCGGCGCCCUGUGGGAGCUUCGAGCAGCUGGAGUACUGGGCCAACAACUUCGAUGACUUCGCGGCUGCCCUGGUCACUCUGUGGAACUUGAUGGUGGUGAACAAUUGGCAGGUGCUCCUGGAUGCCUAUCGGCGCUACUCGGGCCCGUGGUCCAAGAUCUAUUUUGUAUUGUGGUGGCUGGUGUCGUCUGUCAUCUGGGUCAACCUGUUUCUGGCCCUGAUUCUGGAGAACUUCCUUCACAAGUGGGACCCCCACAGCCACCUGCAGCCACUUGCUGGGACCCCAGAGGCCACCUACCAGAUGACUGUGGAGCUCCCAUUCAGGGAUAUUCUGGAGGAGCCCAGGGAGGACGAGCUCAUGGAGAGGCUGAGCCAGCACCCGCACCUGCGGCUGUGCAGGUGACAUCCGGGCUGCCGUCCCAGCCAGGGCGGCAGGAGAGAGAGGCUGGCCUACACAGGUGCCCAUCAUGGAAGAGGCGGCCAUGCUGUGGCCAGCCGAGCGGGAAGAGACCUUUCCUCUGACAGACCACUCAGCUGGAGACAGGAACCAAGUCCUUCGCGUGCGGCCCAACAGCCAUCCACAGAACAGCUACUGGUGCUUCCGGGAGGCGCCAUGCGCUCCGCUUUCUUUUAGAGCUGCUUCAGUGAGAAUCCCCUCGCCCACUCCACAGGGACCUUACAGACAAAAAGGCGAGAAGCAACGGCCUCCCCUGUCCCUUGCAGCUUCGGGUGCCUUUGCUGCUGGUGGCCCUUGGGGACCACAGGCCUGACCAGGGCCUGCACAGGUUAACCGGCAGACUUCCGGGGCAUUCCGGUGGGGAUGCUGGUGGUUUGACAUGGAGAGAACCUUGACCGUGUUUUAUUAUUUCGUGGCUUGCAUGAGUGUGACUGGGUGUGUUUCUUUAGGGGUCUGAUUGCCAAUUAUUUUCAUCAAUAAGUCUUGCAGAGAAUGGGAUUGUCAUUCUUAACUUCAGCACAAUUGUAGUCCUGCUUCUCUGGAGUGGGGUUGUUGAGUAAAGCUGCUUGGGUUGUGCACUGCACAAGGGCAUGUGGCUGUGAGGCGUAUCCCAGGGAGGGGGCGCGCUGUCUACCUGCCGUGAGGGGCACCUUUUCUGUUUUGCUCAAGGGCAUGUAUAAGCCAAUGGUGACCUUAUUUCCUGUGUCCUCAGGUGUGUGGCAGGGGGCCUGGGGUGGGGAGGUGGGGCAAGUGAGCAGUGUGUGGAAAGCCUUGUUGCCACUUGAAGCACGCCAGGUCCAGACCAGUGGUUUUCUCACCUCAGGUGCCAACCCACGCCCCCUUUCUGCUGUGGUUUGGGUGCCAUCUAGUGGUAGGAUGGGAUUUGGUUGACUAUUUUUAAGGCAAGGUGGACCCGGCAACUUCCAGAAACAACUCCAGGGACACCACUCCCCGUCACACUGCACACCGAGCCUGGUGCCCGGGCUGUGCCCGGUCUGUGCCCGAGCUCAGCAGGACCAGGAAGGGAUGGGCUCUGCCAGGGUUGCCUGUGCACUGUGUGUUUUCGCCUGGGAGGCACAAGUUCUUUCAUCUGCUUUUCCUUUAGAGGUGCUGAGCCCACGCUGUAGCCCCUGUGGGGUGGUUGGGGAGGGGGUGACGCGAACAGCAGCGUGGUUGGUAUUGAGACUGGGGAGAGGAGCAAGUCCAAGGAGAAGGUCAUGAGUUCCUUUUUACUCAUGUCGAAUAAUAACAGCAACAACAGUAUGGAAACCACCACAAACUUGGGGAGAAGUUGUAAGUAAAGGGAAGCUUCCUUCUGAAUCACUUAAGUGGUUGCCGUUCUGGCCCUGUCCCCUCUGUGCUUUGGGACUGUGUCCAACCUGCAUUUGCGUCAGGAGUGAGUCGCACGUGGCUUUGUGGUCAUGGUGACUUAAUCUGCCUGGACGGUGGCUCCGUCUCCCUGGGCUUGUACGACCUUGGCACUUCUGGGGAUAAGUCCGUGGCUCCCAGCUUGUUUAUGUGAGGUUUCCUCGUGGUAGGUUCUGGGUCUGCGUUUCGUCUACGAGUGUCACAGGAUGGACGCUGCCUCCUGGCAGGGGCUGCCCGAAUGCAGUUAGCCUCCUGCUGCUGUUCUCUCCUGUUGCUUGGUGACGGUGGCCCCGGUCAGCUUCUCCACUGCCCAGUAACGACCCUUUGUAAUGAAUGAGUGGGGAGGUAGUGUGAAGCGAUGCCAUAUCCCAUCCCCGUCAAACUGCCUUUACUUUUUCCUUCCUUCCUUGCUCCCACCUGUGUGGAUCCUGGCCCCUGCUUGUAUUCAGGGCUGUGAUCUGUUACGAUGUUUACUCACAGGCUCACGUCCUGCUUGUUUGGCCCAUGAGAGCUCCUUCUUCUGCCUUUUGUGUUUUUUUGUUAUGUACCUACGGUUCUUUAGCUGUUUCUUCACUUUCUGGUGCAAAAAGAUGUUCCAGCCUUAUACCUGGCUGCCCCUUUCCCUUUCCUUUACUGGAGUGAUCCCCGGCUCCAAGGAGCCCCAUUCCUUUGAAUGGAGAGCAGCAGCAGGAAGCAGGCUGUAGGUGCGAGGGGUGCUCCUGGCUGUUGCGGAUUGCUGUGCACGGGAGCUCUUAGUGGACAGAGCUAGAGGAUAUGUGCACGUACUUCCAUCUCUCUCAUCUGUUAACAGCUGGGAAUGACACUAACACCUCCGAUUUCAGCCCCGCACCACAGGGUAUGUUCCAGCUUUCUCUCUUUCCAUAGUUCUAAGGCCCUUUCUGGGAAUGGUUCUUAUUCUCCUUAAUCCAUUAUUGGGUCAGUUUCCCUGCAUGUCACCAGCCUCCCAUCACUGCCACCCACUCCCCACAGAGAGGCCCUGCUCAUCUGACUGGGGCUUUGACUCCCACACUGGGUGCCCCUCUUGUGUGGACGCCCUCCUGCCAAAACCUGCAGCAAACAGCUUUCCAAGUGGAAGUUGUCACUGUCAGGGCCUUUACAAUCAGGAACAGCAAAAUCUACGUGCCGCUGAGGGUCCUGGCUCAUUCAGAUGCAAUAAAUAUGCAAGUACAUAAAAACAGCAGUAGAAGAAAUGUAAUGCUUUAUUCUCAAAUAUGUCUACAUACAAAAGCCAACAUUAUUAAGAAUGGUAAGAAUUCAGCACCGUUGUUUUCUAUGAGAUUUAAAAAGUUUUUACUUUAUUACCUAUUCAUGUAUUUAUUUUAGGGUCUUGCUCUGUUACCCAGGCUGCAGUACAGUGGUGUGAUCAUGGCUCACUGCAGCCUCCAACUCGUGGGCUCAAGCAGUCCUCCUACCUCGGCCUCCUGAGUAGCUGUAACUACAGGCACGUGCCACCAGGUCUGGCUAAUUGUUUCAUUUCUUGUAGAGAUGGGGUAUCUCUGUGUUGCCCGGGCUGUUCUUGAAUUCCUAGGCUCAAGUGAUCCUCCCACCUUGGCCUCCCAAAGUGCUGAGAUGACAGGUGUGAGUCACCGCACCUGGCCUGCCAUGAGAUCAUGUACUGGAAUCGCUUUUCUAGAUACUAGCAGUACGCUUGUAAAUUAUAUUCAAGAAUUCAGUUACAUUCAUUUUUUUAAAGGAUAUUGAAGAUUAAAAAUUCUUAAGGUUUCUAAAAAUAAAUGGAAGGAAAGAUAUUCAAGGCCUAUAUACAGAAAACUGGAAAACUUCAUUAAAGCCUGUGACUGUCGAUACAAGUAAAUAGAGACUAUGGUAGUUUUCCGUUGCUGUGUAACAAGUCCCCACGUACUUGGUAGCUUAUCACAACCUCGUUUCUUAGCUCCAAGCUGCAGGUCAGACAUCCAGGCCCGGCUUGGUAGGUCCUCCGCUCAGGGUGUCACACAGCAGAAAUUGGGGUGUCAGUGGGCUGGGUUCCUCCUGGAAGCUCCGGGGGAGUCUGCUCCCAUACUCACUUGGGUUGUUGGCUAGAUGCAGUUGCUUGCAGGUGUAGGGCUGAUGUCCCUGUUUCCUGCUGGCUGUCAGCUGGGGGCUGCUCUUAGGGACUAGAGGCCACCCACAUUCCUUGCCAUAGGGUCCCCUCCAUCUUCAAAGUCAGCCACAAAGAAGCCGCCUCACAUUGACUCCCACUCGCCCUUUGAAUCUCUUUAGGAAAAGCCUGUGCCAUUUACAGUUUCACCUGAUUAGGUCAGACCCACCAGGACAGCUGUCCAUCCUUAAAGUCCUGUGUGCCACCUAACACAGCCCAAGCCCGGGAGUGACGUGUUCACGGGAGGAGACUGUGUAAGGGUCAGGAUCACUGGGGUCAUCUUGGAAUUCUGGCCACCACAGUUUUUCUAUCUUCGUGAUCAAAAAGAAGUGAUAUUGUAAAAAUGUCAGGGAGUCUUUCCCAGUUUCAUCCAUCCGUUCAUUACAAUUCUAAACAUAGUGUCAUUUUUUUCCACAAAAUUUGAAAGUUGAUUGAAAAAUUAACAUGAAAGUACAAAAACAAGA